UUUUUGAUUAAUAAUUUAAAGUCUAAUCUGCCCACUGAUAAUAUAUUAAAGGGCUGCAGUAUUUUGACUGUACAAAGGUAGCAUAAUCAUUAGUCUCUUAAUUGGUGACUUGUAUGAAAGAUUUAAUGAGAUAUAUACUGUCUCUUUUUAAUUUAUAAAAUUUAAUUUUUUAGUUAAAAAGCUAAAAUUUAUUUAAAAGACGAGAAGACCCUAUAGAGUUUAAUAUUUAAUUGAAUUAGAAUUUUUUAUAAGAUUUAAAAUUUUAAUUUUAAUAAAUAUUUUGUUGGGGUGACAAAAAAAUUAAAAAAACUUUUUUUAUUAAUUUACAUAAAUAAAUGAGUAAAUGAUCCGUAAUUUACGAUUAAAAGAAAAAAUUACCUUAGGGAUAACAGCGUAAUUUUUUUUUUUAGUUCAAAUAAGAAAAAAAGUUUGCGACCUCGAUGUUGGAUUAAGAUAAAAUUUAAAUGCAAAAGUUUAAAAUUUUUGAUCUGUUCGAUCAUUAAAAUCUUACA
rnacentral:rRNA from 1 species